rnacentral:rRNA from 1 species
UACGUAGGUGACCAGCGUUGUCCGGAUUUACUGGGCGUAAAGAGCGCGCAGGCGGUCGUUCAAGUCGAGUGUGAAAGCCCCCCGGCUCAACUGGGGGAGGGUCAUUCGAUACUGAUCGACUUGAAGGCAGGAGAGGGAAGCGGAAUUCCCGGUGUAGUGGUGAAAUGCGUAGAUAUCGGGAGGAACACCAGUGGCGAAGGCGGCUUCCUGGCCUGUUCUUGACGCUGAGGCGCGAAAGCUAGGGGAGCAAAACAGGAUUGAGAUACCCGUUAGUA